UACGAAGGGGGCUAGCGUUGUUCGGAAUUACUGGGCGUAAAGGGCGCGUAGGCGGUACUUCAAGUCAGGCGUGAAAUCCCCGGGCUCAACCUGGGAACCGCGCUUGAGACUGGAGAACUAGAGUUCGGGAGAGGAUGGUGGAAUUCCCAGUGUAGAGGUGAAAUUCGUAGAUAUUGGGAAGAACACCGAUGGCGAAGGCAGCCAUCUGGACCGAAACUGACGCUGAGGCGCGAAAGCGUGGGGAGCAAACAGG
rnacentral:rRNA from 1 species